rnacentral:rRNA from 1 species
ACCCCUGUGGGUAUAGUGAGAUGGUUUCAACCCAACCCGUGCGCACAUCCAUUGGACUGGAUGCACGGGUGUGUGUGGUCUUCUUGGUGGGGAGGCCUGGUUAUAGAGGGCCUGGCUUGGUGGGGUGACUAGGCUGGACGGUGUACUGACAAAGCCGUUUUUCCAGUUAUAGAGCCGUUCCAGUCGGGCCCCAGGGCAUGUCCAGUCCCAUUGGUGGUGGGGCGCCCCUCCGUGGGCUCUGAGGCCUUGUCGCCCUCAGUGUCCGUCGGAGUCUACAAAGGGGCACUUGUGCCCCGGCGUAAUGUGGAUGUGUGUAUAUACAUGUUCCGGUUGGCCUUGUGCCAACAACAUGCCACUGAAAACAUGUCCUUGUCCCCUCCAAUAUUUUACCUACGGGACAAGGCCUACUUGGUCCGCAGGCGGCGGGAUGACUUGUGUUGGAAGAGGAAAGGAGAAGGAGACUGGGUUAUCAUAGGCGGCGUUGCCAGUGCGCGCUGCUGAGGAGCAACCGGCCAGUUGGUCCGCGCUGCUUGGUCGAUCUCUCUGCUGGACUUGUUGGGUGUAAGGUAGGCAUCCCACGGUUAUUUGGCGUGCACCCUCCUUCCGUUGUGCCCAAUCGUCUGAAGUUAUGGGCCUCGACGAAUUGAUGUAAGUCGAGGGGGUCAUAUCUGUUUUUGGCCCGGCAUGGACCUAGACCUACACGCGGUGCCCCUGUUCUUGACUGAUUAGGUCUAUAACAUCAAGCUGAGUUUUCCAAUGGGUUUUUAGAUAACUCUCAACAAUGGAUCUCUAGGCUCUUGCAUCGAUGAAGAACGCAGUGAACUGCGAUAACUGGUGUGAGUUGCAUGGCACUUCUAAUCUAACACCAAGCGAAUCAUCGAGUCUUUGAACGCAAACGGCACCCUUCCAGUCCAUUCCAAAGCGGUGGCGGAGGAUGAAGACAAGGGUAUCUCUGGCUGAGGGUAAUGAGAACUGAUCCAGUGUGACCGUUGGUUAGCUGGGGAUUGGGCUUGCUUGGGGUAAUAUUGCUCUGGCUUGCCUUAAAAUCAAGCGUUGUGUGGAUUGGACUUUCAAGCAUGCAUUGGGGACGCAGGCUCUGCGCUAUGGCAAGCCCUUGACCGUCAUAGGUGCUUUGAUUGGGGUUUUCAGUCUAGCCAACAAGGCUGGGUUGAAGGACUUUGGGGCUGCAUUGGGGGCGCAAGGGCAGCUCUGUUCGUGGCGUCCGAUGACCGUCAUGAUGCAUGCGUGAUUGGACUUCAACUAGCAAUUUAUCAUUAUCAUCAUCAUUACUAUGGGUA